GGGGAAUUAGACAUAAUAAAUGUGAUUACAAAUACCCAAUGCUGAUUAAUUUUGAGUAGGAAAAUCCCUUGUAUGCUACAUUUAUUUUUGGAGAAAAGAAAAUAUGCAAAUUAAUUUACCUUUGUUCUUGUUUGCUUUUUGCGAUUUGAGACUGCAUUUGUUAGGUUUUUCGUGUUGCAUAAUCUUUCAUUAAAAGAUGUUUUUGUGCUUAUUGUAUAUUAGAAGGACGCACCCAGGUUGAUUAUGAUAUAGUUGUUCUCAGUGAUCAUGUGAAUAAACUUCUUUGUUAAGGAUUCAUGCUUAUGUUUUAGGGCUUUGACGUAAUGUAACUGUGAAUAGAAU
rnacentral:misc_RNA from 1 species